rnacentral:rRNA from 1 species
AUGCGGACCAGGGGCCAGACCCGCGGCGAGCCCAAACCCCCACCCGCUUCGUCCCCCGCCUCCUCAGCUAUUGUUCUUCCUCCUGUAGGGAGAGGUGGAGCGGAGGAGGUUGCGGCCGGCGGCGCCAAUAAUCGCCGGAGAGCUUCGCCCGCCGCGAAAGGGAAAUCCCCCGCCACCAAUGCGAGACUGCAAAUGCCGGUUGCUGGGCAGGUGGAAUUGGAAUCCUCAUUGGGGAUCAAACGCAAAAAAGGUAAAGUCAAUACCGAACGGAAUGAUGAUACUGGUAAGAAAAGGUGCAGCGUGGGGAGUUCUGAAAAGAAAAAACUGGAGGAAAAAGAGCCGGAGGCAAUUGGUGAUAAUGAUGCUGCUGGCAUGGAAUGGGAGGAUGGGCAUGUCUCUCCGGUGGAAUGCAAAGAGGGUUAUUCCCAUGAUCUUGGUGAGACGGUCACUGUUGAGUUCACUGAUGUACCUUCAUCAACUGAAAAGAAGAGUGUUCGAAGGCAUACUGCUGAAGAGAAGGAGUUGGCUGAACUCAUGCACAAGGUCCAUUUACUUUGCCUGCUAGCAAGGGGUAGGGUAAUUGACAAGGCCUGCAAUGAUCCUCUUAUUCAGGCUUCAGUUCUAUCUGUUUUACCACAGCACUUACUGUGGAAUGGCGUAGACACUCUGAAACUGGACGCUAAUAAAUUACGUAGUCUUGUGAACUGGUUCCAUCGUACUUUCUGUAUAAUUGCACGAUCUGCUGACAAGGGGUCUUUUGAAUCAAAUAUGGCUUUCGCUCUUCAAAGUCAUGAAGGCACUGCUGAAGAGGUCUGUGCACUAUCAGUGGCACUGUUUAGGGCACUCAACUUGACAGCUAGGUUUGUUACAAAUAUGGAUGUUGUUGGACUCAAGCCUGAUGCUAAAGCAAUGGGGACACCAAAUCAAGAUGGAACUAGGCUUUCUACAAGGGCACUACCAUGUAGUCCUGUUGCUGCAGGCCAUAAUGAGUUUAAUACUCUUUCUCCGGCUCGAUUAGAAGUUAAUACGGAACAUAGAUUCAGUAGGGCUAAGCAACGAGGUGAUCUUGGAAAUUUGAAAAGAACAUCAGCUUGCAAGAGUUUGUCUAAAAACUUGUCAAAUUGCAAGGCAGAUCAAUAUGCAUCAACAUCGAAAGAUGAAUCAUCCAGCAGUCCAAAUUCAUUCACAUCCAGUAAUGCUGAAAUACCAAAAAGGAAAGGGGAUGUGGAAUUUGAGUUGCAACUGCAAAUGGCCCUUUCAGCCACUGGAGCUGAAAUUCAGGAAAUGCUAGCUGCCACAUCCAGUCAGUCAAUUGGCACCCUACUAGAUUAUACACCGCUGAAGAAAUUACGUAAAAAUGCAGAAGUUGCGUCCAACUCAAGCGCAGUUUGGUCGAGAAGUGGACCGCCAUUAUAUUGGGCCGAGGUAUACUGCGGUGGCCAGACAUUGACUGGAAAAUGGGUGCAUGUUGAUGUUGUAAAUGAUAUUAUUGACGGUGAAAGAAAAGUAGAAGCUGCUUCUGCUGUUUGCAGGAAGCCUUUGAGAUACGUUGUUGCCUUUGCUGGAGGUGGUGCUAAAGAUGUGACUAGAAGGUAUUGCUUGCAGUGGCACAGAAUUGUCCAGGGAAGAGUGAAUCCAGAGUGGUGGGAGAAAGUUUUGGCACCACUAGAGCAGCUCGAAUUGGCAGCAACUAAUGACUCUGAAGAUAUGGAACUUCAGACCAGGGCCCUAACAGAGCCUCUUCCUACCAAUCAACAGGCUUACAGAGACCACCACCUAUAUGCUCUUGAGAAGUGGCUGCACAAGAACCAGGUUCUUCAUCCCAAGGGUCCAGUGCUUGGCUUCUGUAAGGGGCAUCCUGUUUAUCCUAGAUCUUGUGUUCAAACACUGCAAUCAAGACACGGAUGGUUGACGGAGGGUCUGCAAGUCAGAGAAAACGAGUCGCCUGCAAAGAUUGUCACACGACCAAAGAGGAUUUUCAACUCCCAGUCGCGUGAAUCCAAUAGCAAUGAAGAUGAACUUCAGGCAACCACGGAAUUAUAUGGUAAAUGGCAACUCAAACCCCUACAACUUCCUGGUGCUGUAAAUGGCAUUGUUCCUAAGAAUGAGCGUGGCCAAGUUGAUGUAUGGUCAGAGAAGUGCCUUCCACCCGGUACCGUACACUUGAGUAAACCAAGAAUAUUCCAGGUUGCAAAGAGGCUUGGAAUCGACUAUGCUCCUGCCAUGAUUGGAUUUGAUUACCGAAGCGGUCGGUGUGCUCCAGUUUAUGACGGAAUUGUUGUAUGUGCCGAAUUUAAAAAUGCCAUUUUGGAGGCGUACAAAGAAGAAGAGGAACGGAGACAGGCUGCGGAAAGGAAGCAGGAGGAAGCUCAGGCUCUGUCUAGGUGGUAUCAGCUGCUCUGUUCUAUUGUAACGAGACAACGGUUGAAAGAGUCCUACAACGCGCGCUCAGCAGCGCUUGCGCCAGAGAGACCAGCUAAAGUUGAUAAUCCCCAGAAAAGCACCAGUGAUAGUCGAUGCUCCGGAGCGACCACGCCCAAUAAUCAUCCACGUGCGGAUCGGCUGCCAGAUCCUCGUUUCUCUGCUCAUGACCAUGAGCAUGAGUUUCCUGAGGAAGACCAGAGCUUCGACGAAGAGACGUUUGUGCGGACGAAACGCUGCCCGUGUGGUUUUUCCUUCCAAGUUGAGGAAUUGUAG